rnacentral:rRNA from 1 species
UGGGGAAUUUUGGACAAUGGGCGAAAGCCUGAUCCAGCAAUGCCGCGUGUGUGAAGAAGGCCUUCGGGUUGUAAAGCACUUUUGUCCGGAAAGAAAUCCUUGGCUCUAAUACAGUCGGGGGAUGACGGUACCGGAAGAAUAAGCACCGGCUAACUACGUGCCAGCAGCCGCGGUAAUACGUAGGGUGCAAGCGUUAAUCGGAAUUACUGGGCGUAAAGCGUGCGCAGGCGGUUUGCUAAGACCGAUGUGAAAUCCCCGGGCCCAACCUGGGAACUGCAUUGGUGACUGGCAGGCUAGAGUAUGGCAGAGGGGGGUAGAAUUCCACGUGUAGCAGUGAAAUGCGUAGAGAUGUGGAGGAAUACCGAUGGCGAAGGCAGCCCCCUGGGCCAAUACUGACGCUCAUGCACGAAAGCGUGGGGAGCAAACAGGAUUAGAUACCCUGGUAGUCCACGCCCUAAACGAUGUCAACUAGUUGUUGGGGAUUCAUUUCCUUAGUAACGUAGCUAACGCGUGAAGUUGACCGCCUGGGGAGUACGGUCGCAAGAUUAAAAACUUAAAGGAAUUGACGGGGUCAUAGCUGUUUCCU